AGUCGUAACAAGGUUUCCGUAGGUGAACCUGCGGAAGGAUCAUUAACAAAUCGGUCUGUGGUUUCACGUUAGACAUGCAUGAGUGAUGUGUACACUUGUAUAUGUGUGAGUGAGUGAUCAUAUCAUGUAUGAUGUGUACACUUGUAUAUGUAUGAGUGAGUGAUCAUAUCAUGUAUGAUGUGUACACUUGUAUAUGUAUGAGUGAUCAUAUCAUAUCACUCAUAUCAUGUCUAACGUGGGACUGCUGGACAUUGGCGCUUCGCCGCUUGGCGAGUGCAUGAACGCUUUAUUGUCGGUUGAUGGUAGUGUGGGCUAGUAAAUAGUAAAUAACGAUCACUUUUAACAAUGGAUCUCUUGGCUCCU
rnacentral:misc_RNA from 1 species